rnacentral:lncRNA from 1 species
UCCACUUUUAAACAAGGAGUUAUAUAGAGUAGAACUCCAUUAAUUUGAGUCUGGUUUAUUCGAUCCUGAACGAAAGUCCCAAUUGGCACACACACAUUUCCAUGGGCCUAAACUUUUAAUAUUUCGAUCCUAAAAUUGGCCUUUGCCAGAUAAUUCGGACUUGGCUGAUCAGCAUGCACGCAUCUGACCCCUAUGGCGAAUCCAACUGCAAA